GACAGAGGGGGCAAGCGUUGCUCGGAAUCACUGGGCGUAAAGGGCGCGUAGGCGGGAUGGCAAGUCAGUCGUGAAAUCUCUCGGCUCAACCGAGAAACGUCGGCUGAUACUGCCGUUCUUGAGGGAUGCAGAGGAGACUGGAAUUCCCGGUGUAGCGGUGAAAUGUGUAGAGAUCGGGAGGAACACCGGUGGCGAAGGCGGGUCUCUGGGCAUCUCCUGACGCUGAGGCGCGAAAGCUAGGGGAGCGAACAGG
rnacentral:rRNA from 1 species